GAUCAUGGCUCAGGAUGAACGCUAGCUACAGGCUUAACACAUGCAAGUCGAGGGGCAGCAUGAACUUAGCUUGCUAAGUUUGAUGGCGACCGGCGCACGGGUGAGUAACACGUAUCUAACCUUCCGUUUACCCAGGGAUAGGCCUUUCGAAAGAAAGAUUAAUACCUGAUAGUAUGGUGAGAUUGCAUGAUAACACCAUUAAAGAUUUAUUGGUAAACGAUGGGGAUGCGUUCCAUUAGUAG
rnacentral:rRNA from 1 species